rnacentral:rRNA from 1 species
GAUGAACGCUAGCGGGAGGCCUAAUACAUGCAAGUCGAACGGUAAGGUCCCUUCGGGGAUACACGAGUGGCGGACGGGUGCGUAACGCGUACGAAACAUACCUUCAACAGGGAGAUACCUCCGGGAAACUGGAAAUAAUACCCCAUAGUAUUGAGAUAUCGCAUGAUAUUUCUAAUUAAAGACUUUGGUCGGUUGAAGAUUGUCGUGCGUCUGAUUAGCUAGUUGGUGAGGUAACGGCUCACCAAGGCGACGAUCAGUAGCUGGUCUGAGAGGAUGAUCAGCCACACUGGAACUGAGACACGGUCCAGACUCCUACGGGAGGCAGCAGUAGGGAA